rnacentral:rRNA from 1 species
UACAGAGGGUGCAAGCGUUAAUCGGAAUUACUGGGCGUAAAGGGCGCGUAGGUGGGCAAAUAAGUCAGAUGUGAAAGCCCUGGGCUUAACCUAGGAACUGCAUUUGAUACUGUAAGUCUAGAGUGGAGUAGAGGGUAGCGGAAUUCUCGGUGUAGCGGUGAAAUGCGUAGAUAUCGGGAAGAACACCAGUGGCGAAGGCGGCUACCUGGGCUCCAACUGACACUGAGGCGCGAAAGCGUGGGGAGCGAACAGG